rnacentral:rRNA from 1 species
GACGAACGCUGGCGGCGUGCCUAACACAUGCAAGUGGAGCGACGAACCAGGCUUCGGCCUGGGGCAAGGCCGCGAACGGGUGAGUAACACGUGGGUAACCUGCCCUGAUGAUUGGGACAACCCGAGGAAACUCGGGCUAAUACCGAAUGUGCCCUCCGGCCUCAAGGCCGCUGGGGAAAGGAAGCUUCGGCCUCCGCAUCGGGAUGGGCCCGCGGCCCAUUAGCUUGUUGGUGAGGUAACGGCNCACCAAGGCGACGAUGGGUAGCUGGUCUGAGAGGACGAUCAGCCACACUGGGACUGAGACACGGCCCAGACUCCUACGGGAGGCAGCAGUGGGGAAUCUUGCGCAAUGCGCGAAAGCGUGACGCAGCAACGCCGCGUGGGGAAGAAGGCCUGG